CGCUAGUAUAAAUAGUGGCCAUUUGAGCGUCCCUGGAUCGCUUACCUGUGAUCUCCUUUUUGGUCACCUGACUUACCUUUGGUGUUGCAGAGAUCAUUUGCGGGUUACCCUUCUGAAGCCACCAUCGCGGCUGGUUGUAGCUGUAGAAGCCUCCUUUGAGCCAUUCUGCUCAUGUUUUAUGACGCGGCUUACUCGGAAGUGUGGGCCUUUUACGCCACGCUGCGCUAACGGAAGUGCUGCUGCUUUGCUUUGCUUUUACCGUCUGUUCCCGUUGCGAGGUUUCUUUUCCUGCUGCUGCCAGCUUUUAAAGUGGACGUCGGCGUGGACAGUGGCCAUAUGCAUGCCUGUUAUGGGAGUCAGCUGGCGUGCAUAUUGAUUGACCGGAUAAUUAACUUAUAGUCGUGCAGACGGCAAGUUGGAGCAAUACGGCGAUUCCGUUUGCUCCAGAUUUUAGAGUUUUAUCUAGAUUGUAUGUUUUUGAUUUGUAGUUUGGAUUUCUGUUACACCACUGGUGGGAGGCCCUUUUUCUAGCUGUAGAUCACCAGUGUGGUCCUGCAGUUGGGUUAUUCCCCCAGCGCUGCAUAUUAGUUUUGUUGCAAUAUAUUAAAAAUUCUUUUUUUCAUUUAUUCAGAUGCGGAGCGCUGACGUGGAGGAGACUAGGGUGCUUUGAGUGUACACACCUGCCUUGUGUAGUCUAUUAGUCUGAGUGUGUGAUAGUGUGCUGCACUGUCAUGGUG